rnacentral:lncRNA from 1 species
CUCAGUCUUGGGCUAUUCGGCCACGUGCCUGCCGGACAUGGGACGCUGGAGGGUCAGCAGCGUGGAGUCCUGGCCUUUUGCGUCCACGGGUGGGAAAUUGGCCAUUGCCACGGCGGGAACUGGGACUCAGGCUGCCUCCCGGCCGUUUCUCAUCAGUCCACUGGACUCGUGGGCGCUCGCACUGGCGCUGAUGUAGUUUCCUGACCUCUGACCCGUAUUGUCUCCAGAUUAAAGGUACGACAUUUGGAGGCCCCAGCGAGAAACGCCACCGGGCGAGAGCCGGGCCCGCUGUGUGCUCCCCCGGAAGGACAGCCAGCUUGUAGGGGGGAGCGCCACCUGAAAAAAAAUUUCCAGGUCCCCAAAGGGUGACCGUCUUCCGGAGGACAGCGGAUCGACUACCAUGUGGGUGCCCACAAAAAUUCCACCUCUGAGUCCUCAACUGCUGACCCCGGGGUCAGGAAAGGUGGAUGCCACCGUGUUCACAGACAGUAGCAGCUUCCUCGAGAAGGGACUACGAAAGGCCGGUGCAGCUGUUACCACGGAGACAGAUGUGUUGUGGGCUUAGGCUUUACCAGCAAACACCUCAGCACAAAAGCCUGAAUUGAUCACCCUCACUCAGGCUCUCCGAUGGGUCUCCCCAACAGGUACAAGAUAUCAUCCUGCCACUUGUUCGAGGAACCCAUCCGAAUCCAAUUCCUGACCAGACAGGGUCCUGCCAUUCGUUCCAGCCAGGAGACCUAGUGUUUGUUAAAAAGUUCAGAGAGAAGGACUCCCUCCUGCUUGGAAGAGACCUCACACCGUCAUCACGAUGCCAACGGCUCUGAAGGUGGAUGGCAUUCCUGCUUGGAUUCAUCACUCCCGCAUCAAAAAGGCCAACAGAGCCCAACUGGAAACAUGGGUCCCCAGGGCUGGGUCAGGCCCCUUAAAACUGCACCUAAGUUGGGUGAAGCCAUUAGAUUAAUUAUUUUUCUUAAUUUUGUAAAACAAUGCAUAGCUUCUGUCAAACUUAUGUAUCUUAAGACUCAAUAUAACCCCCUUGUUAUAACCGAGGAAUCAAUGAUUUGAUUCCCCAAAAACACAAGUGGGGAAUGUAGUGUCCAACCUGGUUUUUACUAACCCUGUUUUUAGACUCUCCCUUUUCCUUUAAUCACCUAGCCUUGUUUCCACCUGAAUUGACUCUCCCUUAGCUAAGAGUGCCAGAUGGACUCCAUCUUGGCUCUUUCACUGGCAGCCCCUUCCUCAAGGACUUAACUUGUGCAAGCUGACUCCCAGCACAUCCAAGAAUGCAAUUAACUGAUAAGAUACUGUGGCAAGCUAUAUCCGCAAUUCCCAGGAAUUCGUCUGAUUGAUAACGCCCAAAGCCCCCGGUCUAUCACCUUGUAAUAGUCUUAAAGCCCCUGCACCUGGAACUAUUAACUUUCCUGUAACCAUUUAUCCUUUUAACUUUUUUGCUUACUUUAUUUCUGUAAAAUUGUUUUAACUAGACCCCCCCUCUCCUUUCUAAACCAAAGUAUAAAAGCAAAUCUAGCCCCUUCUUCAGGGCUGAGAGCAUUUUGAGCAUUAGCCGUCUCUUGGCCACCGGCUAAAUAAAC